rnacentral:rRNA from 1 species
UUUAUUUUAAUAUAAAAAAGGGACGAAUGGAUAACUAGGAUGGACUAAAAUAGGACGGAAAAUCCGAAAAGACGAAGAAGAGACUUAGAAAUCGUUUAUCCUAGCGGAAAUGCAGUAAAAAGAACUGGGAAGUGAAACAUCUUAGUACCAGAGCCGGCGCAUAAGAAAUUUCUUAAGGGUCUGUGGCACAGAGAAAUCAAACGAGAUUCCGUAAGUAGCGGCGAGCGAAAGUGGAUUAGUCCAAUGACUUAUUUUGAAGCGAGUAAAUAGUGGAAAAUAGGUGCUCACACAUCUAAGACUAAAUGUUAGUUUCCAUACCGAAAGAGAGAGUACUGUAAAGGAAAGUUGAAAGAGAUUUUAAAAGAUCUUGAAAUGAGUCCCUUAGAGCAGUUGUGAUACAACGUACCUUUUGUAUAAUGGGUUCACAAGAUAAAAUUUGGCAAACUUAAGUUUAGAUCAUGAUCAUGACUAAAGUCUAAAUUGAUUUUAAGAAAUGAAGGUGAAGUGAAAUCAAGGGUAAAGUCUCUUUAGUCAAAUUUCCCGAAACCAAGUGAUCUAACCAUGGACAGUUCAAAGGAGCGAACCGGUGGUUGUAGCAAAAACCUCGGAUGAUCUGUGGUUAGGGGUUAAAGACCAAUCGAACUUGGAAAUAGCUGGUUUUCUGCGAAAACUAUUGAAGUAGUGCGCUCACAAAAAUAGAGCCCUUAUCGAAAAAAUUUUUAUCAAGAUAUAGGGGGUUGUUUUUUCAUGGUAAAGUUCGAUUGCUCAAAAAUUGAGGGAUUAACUAUGAAUAUAAAAAAAUUAAAGUGAGCAGACAGACAGUAGGCGAUAAGGUCAAUUGUCAAAAGGGCAAGCCCUAAUCAGAAGUUAAAGUCAUAGAUUAAUUUUAGAUCCAAAAGGAUAAAAAUAGUCAAGUGAAAAAGAGAUAUUGAAUUUAGACAAUGAGGAAGUAGGCUUGGAGCCAGCCACCUUUGAAAGAUGACGUAGUAGUUCACUCAAAAAAUUCUCCUAUCUCUAAAAUUAGGGUGGCUAAAUUUAAACUGAAACUCUGAAAGCGAAGUUUCGCUUGGUAGCAGAACGUACUGUGAAAUGGUUCAGUGAGAACCUUAAGUAUCAGAAAUGAUAAUGUGAACAUGAGUAAAAGAUCGUCGGAUCACUUCCCUAGGUUUCCAGGCCUGAGGGCUUGGGUUAUACAGUCCCUAAGACGGCAGCCCAAAGGUUGCAUCGAUGGGCCAUAGUAAUAGACGCACUUAGUGCCAGGAAAAAAUUACUAAAUAUUUGACCCUCUUAAUUUCAUCUUCAUAGGAGAAAAAUGAUAUGGGAGUUGUUAAAAGUUGCACUGUACUAACCUAACACAAGUGGGGGAUAGUGAGGGGGAAAGUUUUCUUAAGGAACUCGGCAAAAAAUUUGAUCUUCCCAUUAGGGGGUUUAUACUAUAGGGCCUCGACUGUUUACCAAAAACAUAGCUCUCUGCUAAUAUGAGAAAUAGAAGUAUGGAGGGUGAGGCCUGCCCAAUGGUUGUAUCUAAAAGGGUCGGUAAGAGCCGACCUCAUAAAGACAAUUGAAUGGCCGCGGUAACACUGACCGUGAUAAUGUAGCGUAAUCAAUAGCCAAUUAAUUGUUGGCCGGUAUGAAUGGCGUCACGAAGGCCCCACUGUCUUAAGAAAAUUCCCAGUGAAAUUGAAAUCGUAGUGAAGAUGCUACGUCCAAAUUGUUAGACGAAGAGACCCCAUUGAGCUUUACUGGAAACUUAUAUGGCUGAAAUAUAUUUUUGCUCAUAAAGACUAAUCUCAAAAAGAUUUAUUAAAAGUGAGGAAAAUUAAAACUUAAAUAAAUAGCUAAAAUUAUGUGGUGAAAAAUAUUUUUAUCGAAGUUUUGUUUUUCGAUUCUUUUUCUCUAAGAGAAAAAAUCUUAAUUCAAAUACUCCGUAGACUAAUGGAAACCACUCUUUUAUUUUAAGAGAGCUAACUCUUUUUCAUGAUUUAUAUCUAAUGAUGGGAGGAAUAAUGUAAGUUGGACAGUUUGGUUGGGGCGACCGCCUUUUAAAAAGUAACGAAGGUGAGCUUAAGGUGCAUAAAUAAUAUCAGCAGCCUGACUGCAAGGGAGACGUUCCGAGCAGACACUUGUUCUCGUCAAGAAGCCAUUGUUUGAUCUAAGCUUGGGGGUUCCCAUAAAGACUUAGAAAAAAACAAGUUCUUGGAGCGGAAGAAAGUGGGCUAUAAUGACCCGUUAAUUUAGAGUGAGAAUAGUUAACGAUCAACGGAUAAAAGCUACCAUGGGGAUAACAGCGUAAUAUCGUUUGAGAGCUUUCAUCGACGACGAUGUUUGCGACCUCGAUGUUGAAUUGCAGCAUCCUGGGGUGCAGUCGCUCCCAAGGGUUGGUCUGUUCGUCCAUUAAGGCUGUACAUGAUUUGAGUUAAAAGCGUGGUAACACAGCUUGGUUUCUAUCUACAAUUUGAAGAAACAUCAAUAUAAUUAUUUUCUAGUACGAAAGGACCGAAAAAUUAAUGAUCCUCUUAUUUUCUAUAAGUUACGAUCAAUUUAAAUCCUUUUGGAUCCGAGCCUCAUAGAAAAAUUGGGGCUUUCUCAGUUAAUCACUGACUGCCUCUAAAGUGUGAAAAAUAUAUUGAUUUGUUUGGAUUUUAGAAAAAUAUAUAUGUUUU